rnacentral:tRNA from 1 species
GAGGGUAUAGCUCAGUGGUAGAGUGUGUGCUUAGCAUGCACGAGGUCCUGGGUUCAGUCCCCAGUACCUUCA